CGCGUAGGCGGUUUUCUAAGUCAGAUGUGAAAGCCCGGGGCUUAACUCCGGAAGUGCAUUUGAAACUGGGAGACUUGAGUAUGGGAGAGGGAAGUGGAAUUCCUGGUGUAGAGGUGAAAUUCGUAGAUAUCAGGAGGAACACCGGUGGCGAAGGCGACUUCCUGGACCAAUACUGACGCUGAGGCGCGAAGGCGUGGGGAGCAAACA
rnacentral:rRNA from 1 species